GCGUCAAAAGGUUAUUUCCUAUAUGCGAAACUAACCGUCGUACUGUAGAGGAAAACAUCUGGAGGGACACAAAAAGUGGACGGUGUUUUAGGCUCGGCAGGCUGAUCACCUAUUACUUGGGGGAAAUCGUCUACCCUCUUGCGUGUAGCGCCACUGGUUAAUUUUAUUUUUAAAUAGACGGGAGCGGUGGAAAUUAAUUGUACUUUCAGAGAUUUUCAAUCAAUCAUCACUUUUCUAUAUUAGAUUUUUCGUUUUGUUCGUUGUUGUUUUUUUAAUCGAUUUCUCUAAUCAAUUACCACUUUGAAUGAUUAUUUUUAAGGCUGUUCUAGCAAUAGAGCGUUGAUAAUAACUAACUAACAUGAAUAUCCUUUUUUUAUUUGCCAUGUUUAUACCUAUACCAACGCUAUAUUCACUAACAAAUAUAUUAUCCGAAGAAAUAGAUUAUGUCCGACCAUACGAAGUUGCAGCGAGGGACGAAUUUACAAAAAUAUUUGGUAAUCAUCUUUUAAAAGGAAACGGAAAUAAAAGUAAAAAACCAAAGAUAAAAAAGAAACAAAAGAAAAAACCGAGACCUAAAGGCAACAGAUUUGAAAUUAGAAUAGGUAACACACAGAUUAAUGUCUCCCAGGGAUCCAUUGUAAAAUUUGAAACGCGGAACGGGACGUUUACAACGAAUUUCGAUGUGUACAAGGAGGAUUGUAAAAAUUGUGGGAAGCCGUUCCAAAAUUGGCCUUUUGACAGACCGUUUCCUUGGAAUUGAUGUUUUGAAAUUAAUAAAAUCAGCCAAUCAAUGUCGUGUUAGCUGAACUUGCUGUGAAAGUAAUAAAUACAUGAGUGGCGUUA